rnacentral:rRNA from 1 species
GAUCCUGGCUCAGGAUGAACGCUAGCUACAGGCUUAACACAUGCAAGUCGAGGGGCAGCAUGAACUUAGCUUGCUAAGUUUGAUGGCGACCGGCGCACGGGUGAGUAACACGUAUCCAACCUGCCGAUGACUCGGGGAUAGCCUUUCGAAAGAAAGAUUAAUACCCGAUGGCAUAGUUCUUCCGCAUGGUAGAACUAUUAAAGAAUUUCGGUCAUCGAGUGGGGAUGCGUUCCAUUAGGUUGG